rnacentral:rRNA from 1 species
UACAGAGGGUGCAAGCGUUAAUCGGAUUUACUGGCGUAAAGGGCGCGUAGGUGGUUAUUUAAGUGUAGAUGUGAAAGCCCCGGGCUACAACCCUGGGAACUGCAUCUUAUACUGGGUAACUGGAGUACAUGAGAGGGUAGUGGAAUUUCCGGUGUAGCGGUGAAAUGCGUAGAUAUCGGAAGGAACACCAGUGGCGAAGGCGGCUACCUGGCAUGAUACUGACACUGAGGCGCGAGAGCGUGGGGGAGCAAACAGG